UAAAAAAUAGGGUAAAAUUUGUUUUGAUUAUCUAGAGUGUUCGGUCACCUUGGAAACCUCCUUCCACGAACGAAAAGGAGGACCUUCUAGAACACCUUCAAGAUUAUCAAUGGUGGCAAAGGUGGUUGGGGCCACCAGUAUGAUCGCGAAGAAGAUGAGUGAGAAGAGCGGGAAGGACGAGGACUACUUCAAGAACCUGGACAAGUGCUAUGAUAUUAACAGCUACGAGUCUGAAUAUAAGCAAGGACUUUUUGUCAGAUCACAUUCAUCCGAAUCCAUGUUUUCUAAGAGAAAAUUAAAG